CCUACGGGUGGCAGCAGUGGGGAAUAUUGGACAAUGGGCGAAAGCCUGAUCCAGCCAUGCCGCGUGUGUGAAGAAGGCCUUCGGGUUGUAAAGCACUUUCAGUGGGGAAGAAAGCCUUGGGGCUAAUACCCUCGAGGAAGGACAUCACCCACAGAAGAAGCACCGGCUAACUCCGUGCCAGCAGCCGCGGUAAUACGGAGGGUGCGAGCGUUAAUCGGAAUUACUGGGCGUAAAGCGCGCGUAGGCGGUCUGAUAAGCCGGUUGUGAAAGCCCCGGGCUCAACCUGGGAACGGCAUCCGGAACUGUCAGGCUAGAGUGCAGGAGAGGAAGGUAGAAUUCCCGGUGUAGCGGUGAAAUGCGUAGAGAUCGCGAGGAAUACCAGUGGCGAAGGCGGCCUUCUGGACUGACACUGACGCUGAGGUGCGAAAGCGUGGGUAGCAAACAGGAUUAGAUACCCCGGUAGUC
rnacentral:rRNA from 1 species